UACGUAGGGGGCAAGCGUUGUCCGGAUUUAUUGGGCGUAAAGAGCGUGUAGGCGGCUAGGUAGGUCCGUUGUGAAAACUCGAGGCUCAACCUCGAGACGCCGAUGGAAACCAUGUGGCUAGAGUCCGGAAGAGGAGAGUGGAAUUCCUGGUGUAGCGGUGAAAUGCGCAGAUAUCAGGAAGAACACCCGUGGCUAAGGCGGCUCUCUAGUACGGUACUGACGCUGAGACGCGAAAGCGUGGGGAGCGAACAGG
rnacentral:rRNA from 1 species